rnacentral:rRNA from 1 species
AUUGAACGCUGGCGGCAGGCCUAACACAUGCAAGUCGAGCGGAUCGGCGGCCGGGGGCGUACUGCCUAGGAAUCUGCCUGGUAGUGGGGGAUAACGUCGGGAAACGGGCGCUAAUACCGCAUACUCUCAGUUGCGGCUAGGUGGGGUUAGCUAGUUGGUGGGGUAAGGGCCUACCAAGGCGACGAUCCGUAACUGGUCUGAGAGGAGGAUCAGUCACACUGGAACGGAGACACGGUCCAGACUCCUACGGGAGGCAGCGGUGGGGAAUAUUGGACAAGGGGCGAAAGCCGGAUCCAGCCAUGCCGAGUGUGUGAAGAAGGGCUUCGGAUUGUAAAGCACUUUAAGUUGGGAGGCGUUACCAACAGAAUAAGCACCGGCUAACUUCGUGCCAGCAGCCGCGGUAAUUC